GAUGAACGCUGGCGGCGUGCCUAACACAUGCAAGUCGAACGGAGUCGUUUUGGAAAUCUCUUCGGAGAUGGAAUUCUCGACUUAGUGGCGGACGGGUAAGUAACGCGUGAGCAAUCUGCCUUUAAGAGGGGGAUAACAGUCGGAAACGGCUGCUAAUACCGCAUAAAGCAUCAAAUUCGCAUGUUUUUGAUGCCAAAGGAGCAAUCCACUUUUAGAUGAGCUCGCGUCUGAUUAGCUAGUUGGCGGGGUAACGGCCCACCAAGGCGACGAUCAGUAGCCGGACUGAGAGGUUGAACGGCCACAUUGGGACUGAGACACGGCCCAGACUCCUACGGGAGGCAGCAGUGGGGAAUAUUGCGCAAUGGGGGAAACCCUGACGCAGCAACGCCGCGUGACUGAAGAAGGCCUUCGGGUUGUAAAGAUCUUUAAUCAGGGACGAAAAAAUGACGGUACCUGAAGAAUAAGCUCCGGCUAACUACGUGCCAGCCGCCGCAGUAA
rnacentral:rRNA from 1 species